rnacentral:misc_RNA from 1 species
AUAAGACCACCCAUUCCAACAAGGGCAGCGUAACCAAGACUCAGCUUCUGAGACAUCGACAACGCCAUCUUCUUCUUCUCACCGCCACUACCUCCAACGAUCCUCCCUCUCCUUCGUUCUUUGAAUCACCACCACCACCACUCGUCCUCCGUUAUUACCACCGCCGCCUCCACCACCCCCUCCACUGCUACCUCUUAUAUCCCGGUAACCGUCACCGCCGCCUCCAGAAUCCGGUUCAAUCUCGAUGCCUUCUGUCGACAAAUCAACGUCAUCAGUAACAAGCGUAGACGAUUCGAGACCCGAAUAGACGACACUAGCAGCAACAACAGGCUUCAAAUGCUUAUCAGAGAAAACAACGAAUCGGUAGUUUCCCUUCUCGCUCGAAGAUUGCUGAAGCCGCAGGGACGUCGAUGGAGUAGCGUAAGUUCGAAAUCCAAACUUUGAAGGCUCUAUAAGAAGAAGCGAAGACUGAGAUACUACACCUAUCACCGACUUCGCCAUUUGGUUUCUUGCUUUGCUUCGGCCAUUUUGCCUCUGAUUUUCGUCCUUUGCCCCAACUCGAGUCGGUUCUGGUAGAAAACUC